CCAAGUAGAGAAGCCCAGACUUCGUCCAGUUCCUCCCGAGAGAUCCCGAGGCGUUCCCAGGCCAGCCGGGAGACAUAGUCUUCCCAACGUGUGGGUCUUCAGCGUGCCUCCUGCCGGUCGGACGUGCCCUAAACACCUCUCUAGGGAGGCGUUCGGGUGGCAUCCUGACCAGAUGCCCGAACCACCUCAUCUGGCUCCUCUCGAUGUGGAGGAGCAGCGGCUUUAUUUUUGAGUUCCCCCCGGAUGGCAGAGCUUCUCACCCUCUCUCUAAGGGAGAGCCCCGGCCGCCACCCGGCGGAGGAAACUCAUUUCGGCCGCUUGUACCCGUGAUCUUGUCCGAUCCGGUCAUAACCCAAAACUCAUGACCAUAGCAGAAGGAUGCCAUCUUCCAGGUUUUGCUCCUCCAGGACUACCUGACCCACAUGCGGUCCUACUUCGCCAGGAGGCAGUGGGACACAACCAAAUCCCAAAAGACCGGAAUCCUUUUGUUGGUCAACUUGUGCUGCUUGGACUCCUUCACUGCCAUCCAUCUCAAGAAUGUAAUUCUCACAGAAGAGGAGAGGUGAUAGACCCAACUGCAACCACAGCACAAGUGCAACUCCACUGACUCUCCGUUGACCUCCAGCAGCACCUCGCCAUCCCGCAUUCCCGCCUUCUCUGCUGGGCUGCCAGCGUCCACCUUUCGCAGCACAUGAGCUGUGGUUGGUGGAGACACAAAGACAAGAAUGGAACACCUGUGUUCAGUUCGGGACCCUUUGAGACUGUGACAAGGGGUGCCACUUUCGUGACUUCUGCGGUGCUUUUUUGUGGACUUCUGGAUCUGCCUCCCGGGAGCCUUUUGGCCAUGGAGACCAGCUGCUGGGUCUCUGCCACACCAGAGUCCGUUUGGAGAGACUGGAGGAGAUGCAGAUGAAGAAACAGUGCUGCGGAGCUAGCACUGAGCGCCAGGACGGACAAGCUUCACAGUGUCUUGGCUGAAUGAGCAGAUAUCGGACACCUCAGUCUCCUUAGACGCAUCCUCGCUCAUCCAUGCGGACUGGACACUGGCCGAGAGUUAGUGGGCGGCCGAGAGUGGAGUUGGCUCUCUUGGUUGCUUUGUUGGGUCUGCUCCUGUCUCUGGCCAUGCUCCCUCCACCCCAGCAGACGAUGGCAUGGAACACUGCAGAGGCCACCACAGUGUAUAUGUUUCUUUUAUUUUGUAUCUAUAGCUGUAUGUAGAAGUGGCUGGUUGCAUCAGCUCUGCUCUUUUAAUGUCUUUAAUGUCCUUUGUAUUCUUUGAUGUUUGAUGUUUCCCUCUUACACACAUGUAAGAAGGAUGUGUGUUAUGGCUAUGAGUUGUUUUUUCCCUUGGCCUCAGUCUGGACCCCCUCUCCAGGGGCCCAGGCUUCGACCAUUUUUUUUUCUCUCACCCCCCAAACCCCUCCCAUUGUUUACCUGUAUCUCAGCUUUUUUGUAAGGGGCGCCGGAAGUUGGCAGACCCGUCAGCGAUCCUGUUCUGUCUCCCUGUAAUGUUUGUCUGAUCUUGAAUGGGAUUUUGCUGAAAAUUUUAAAUUCCCCUCUGGGAUUA